UACGUAGGGUGCGAGCGUUGUCCGGAAUUAUUGGGCGUAAAGGGCUCGUAGGCGGUUUGUCGCGUCGGGAGUGAAAACCCAGGGCUUAACCCUGGGCUGGCUUCCGAUACGGGCAGACUAGAGGUAUGCAGGGGAGAACGGAAUUCCUGGUGUAGCGGUGAAAUACGCAGAUAUCAGGAGGAACACCGGUGGCGAAGGCGGGUCUCUGGGCAGUAACUGACGCUGAGGAGCGAAAGCGUGGGGAGCGAACAGG
rnacentral:rRNA from 1 species